ensembl:lncRNA
CAGACAGCUGACUGGUCAAAGUGAGAAAUCUGAUUUGUUUUCUCAUUUUCAAACUGAGCUUUAGACAAACUCCAUCCAGCGUAAGCAGCAGUGAUCCUCUCAGAAUAGAUUUAAAUGAAGUUUCCCUUCAACACGUCAAGAAACAUCAGCAUAUAAAUCUAGACCAGGAAGGAGACGAAUGAAAUGAAUCAAGAGCAAAGAAAUGCAGCAAACAUCAGUCUUUGCACCGACCGUCUAGAAAAACUGCACCUUUAAAUGAACGUCAGAAAUGUGAUUCUGUCUGAUCUCAUCCUGGAAAUCAAAUGCUCGCAUCAGAGAACGUUUUUCCUCCAAGUGCAAGUGGAGCAAAUGAAAUAAUGAGAUGCAGGCCGAGAGUUGGUUUCCUAGGCGAAUAUCAUGAUUCACUUUUAUUAAAAGCAUCAUAGCUACAAUUCAUCAUACAUGAUGUCUCCAAAAAAAAAAAAAAAAAACAACAAAAAGACACACACCAAAAAAGAAAAAAAAUGAAGAGGAAAAAAAACAUUUACAUGGUAUGUCUGUAAACUUCAAGGCUAGAUAAGAAUUUUGAGGUAAUGCUCUUCAGCUUGCUGGCUAAAAGUAACAAAAAGUCCAUUUUUUCAAGAAAAGUAGCUAAGUAAUAAAGGUACCUGAUUAUUUAACUCUUUAACACCAGUGCAUCAACAGGAACAGAGUGAGACAAAAUUGAUUGCAGUACUCAUUUGUCAUCAUUUACAGUUUUAGUUUUGCUUUUCUAUUCAUACGACACUUGUGGUUAUUCAUAUAGUGUGUGUGUGUGUGUGUGUGUGUGUGUGUGUGUGUGUAGUGAUGUUGGAACAUUCAAAAGCUGCCUUGGUUAUUGCUGUCUCAGCGUGGGAGAGGAGAACGAGGGUCUCUGACGGGGAAAGAAAAGGUGUCUUGAUUCCGUCAGAGCCGCUCCUCUCCGUCUGCUGGGCUGGCUGUGAGAGCAAACGUUAAGAAGACCUGGCCACGGUGUGUGUCUGUGUGUGUGUGUCUCUGUGUGUUUGAAUGUACUUUCAAAUAUCUGAACUGCUCGCAGCACUUGAUUCAUCUCAGACACUUGAACUGGCCUCAGGGGGAAUGGAAACAAAUCAAGCACUUUUCAAGUAUUCCAAAAAAAAAAAAAAAAAAAAAAAUUAGGAACCUACUCGGCGAGCAGCAGAGUUGAACUUCAUAUAGAAAAACUUUCUAAACUCUGUUGAAAACGUGUCAGUCCUGUUCGGGGCCAGGCCGGGUGUCAGUGUGUGUGACUAGAGCAACAGUCUUUAGGGAGCAGCACUUGGUCUGGAACUACCGGGAUGUGAAGGAACGAAUAAAAUAAAAUAAACUGCAAAGUGGCAGCCACCGGGAAAUCCACCGUCUCAUGUGCCCCCCUUUAAAGAACAAACCUGAAGCAUCACAUCCCUGUGUGGACCGCCGCUCUCAGUCCAUUCACAGAAGCCUCUGGACGACCACGGCUGGCUCCGGACCAAUCAGAAGGCCUGAUCGGCGGCAGACCCAGCCCGCCUGCCACCUCCUGAACCAGAACCAGCCGCCCCGAGCACAGAGAGAGAGACAGGACUGAGAGGCGGCGGUGGAAAGACUCGGUAUUCAGUGUGGGACUGGGGUUAACAGUAUCGGUUCAGCGUAGAGGAAAACAGUCACAUGACAGAAGGUUAGUGUGUGCGUGUAGUGGCGGACACCUGGAUGUGUGUGUGUGUGUGUGUGUGUGUGUGUGUGUGUGUGUGUGUGUGUGUUGUGGUCAUCAGUGUGUGAGACUGAGUUUUAAGCCAGUCUGGUUUUCCUCCUGGGAGUCUACCUGCUCUGAUAUGUGAGAACUAAUAAAAACAACAAUCUGCUCUGAGACAGAACAGAACUCCAUUACCCACGAUUCCUUUUGCAGCAGCUUUGUCAGACAGACAGCUGGGUGAGCUGUAAUGCUGUUUGCUUUUCUUUUCGUUCGAGAACUAAUGUCAGGAGAAAGCCCAACGGCUGGAGGUUCUCCUUCUUCUGAUGAGAUGCUGCCAACGACCAACAACAACAAAACAGUCCAGACAAAGAAGAAGGAGGCAAAAAUAAAAAAAAAUAAAGACUUGAGAGCUGAAAGCAGCAAUAAUAAUAAUAAUAAUAAUAAUAGUACUAUUGGAACCUUGUGAAGUCCUAUCUGAGGAGAGAACGUGUGGGUGCACCGCUCACAGCACACAGGCCAACCAGAGGAAGGAAGAAAGGAAGAAACGGUCCUUGAAGAGCCGAGCUCUGCUGAGCGGCGUGACAAUUUUCCCUGACUACACUAUCCAUCAGAGAGAUUUAACUUAACACACACAAACCUCGGCCUCUCUGACGCAUAGUAAAUAUACCUGGCCAAAAAAUAAACAACAGAGUGAAAGAAAUCAUCAACAACAACACAAAGAAAAAAAUAAAACAGGAUUCAUAAUAGUUUGGAUAUUUCUGGUGGAGGUGUGUAAACGUGGCGGGGAGGUCAGAGGUGAGGAAAUGUCCAAGGCCAGUCUUCUGUCUCAUUCAGUCACUCUUGUCCUUCUGUGGAGACGCCUCCUCCUCUUCCUCCUCCUCCUCC